AACGCACAUUGCGCCCAUUAGUAUUCUAGUGGGCAUGCCUGUUCGAGCGUCAUUUCAACCCUUAAGCCCGUGUUGCUUAGCGUUGGGGGCCUACAGCGGCGCUGUAGCCUCCUAAAACCAGUGGCGGAGUCGGUCUCACGCUCCAGACGCAGUAAAUCUUGCCUCGUCUGCGGUUGAGCCGGUCCCCUGCCGUAAAAACCCCCACUUCAAAAAGGUUGACCUCGGAUCAGGUAGGAAUACCCGCUGAACUUAA
rnacentral:misc_RNA from 1 species